CUUAGUUGAUUCUGCUAGUAGUUAUAUACUUAUCUUAAAGAUUAAGCUAUAUAUAUCUAAAUAUAAGUAAUUAUAUAGUGAAACUAUGAAUAGCUUAUUAUAUAAGUUAUUAUUUAUUUAAUAAUAUUUUACUAUUUAGAUAAUUAUGGUAAUUCUAGAGCUAAUAUAUACUAAAAAUCCUAACUUCGGAAGGGAUAUAUUUAUUAGAUUAAAAACUAAUACCUUUUGGGGCUUACUGGUGAUUUAUAAUAACUUCUCAAAUUGUAUGGCUUUGUGCUGGCGAUAGUUUAUUUAAAUUUCUUCCCUAUCAACUUUCAAUACUAGAGUAGUAUUCUAGUAUAGUUAUAAUAGGUAAUGGAGGGUUAGAGUUUAACUCUGGAGAAGGAGCCUGAGAAAUAACUACUAUAUCUAAAGAAGGCAGUAGGCAUGCAAAUUACCUAAUUCCGAUAUAGGGAGGUAGUGACGAUAAAUACUAAUAUAGAGCUCUUUUAGGUCUUAUAAUUAGAAUAAGUAUAAUUUAAAUUCCUUAAUAAGGAAUAAUUAGAGGGUAAGUUUAGUACUAGUAGCUAUAGUAAUUCCAGCUCUAAUAGUAUAUAUUAAAGUUGUUGUGGUUAAAAAGCUUAUAGUAGAACCUUAAGUCUGGCUGGCUGGUCCGCCUCACUAUAUAUACUGGUCUGGCUGGGCUUUUCCCUCUGUGGAACUACAUACUCUUUACUAAGUAUGCUAGGGAAAUAGGAUUUUUAUUUUAAAAAAAUUAGAAUGCUUCAGGCAGAUCUAUACUUAAAUAUAUUAAUAUAGAAUAAUAAAAUAAAAUGUGUGGUUCUAUUUUGUUAGUUUCUAGGAUCGUUAUAAUAAUUAAUAGAGACAGUUAGGAGUAUUAGUAUUUAAUUAUCAGAAGUGAAAUUCUUAGAUUUAUUAAAAACUAACUACUACGAAAGUAUUUACUAAGGAUAUUUUUAUUUAUUAGGAAUGAAAGUUAGGAGAUUGAAGAUAAUUAGAUACUGUUAUAAUCUUAACUAUAAACUAUACUAACUAGGGAUUAGAUAAUAUUAUUUUUUGAUUUAUUUAGCACUUUACGAGAAAUUAAAAUAUUUAGGCUCUAGGGGGAGUAUAGUCGUAAAGCUGAAACUUAAAGAAAUUAACAGAAGGAUAUUACUAGAAGUAAAUAGUAGCUAUUUAAGCUUUACUCUAGAUAGUAAACCUAUAAAGGGUCUAGUAGCUAGCUUUAAAUCGUUAGUUAUUUUAGUAGUAGCGAUAUCCUCUAAUUGCGGGAAACCCUCAGAGGGUAGCAUUCUUAAGUAGCGUUCGAAAGAGAUGCUGUAGCGGCAGCGUAAUAGCUACUAGUAUAGAGACAAUAUGCUGCUUAUAAGGUAACUUGCAGCUAAGCUUCUAACUACAGGGAAGGUUCAGAGACUCAAUAGGGAUAAGUAGUAUCCCUAAGCGUCACUUAAGAUAGAAUCUAUACCCACUUGAGAGAGUGGAGACUAACUAGUAUGUUACCUGAAAAGGGAGCUUACAGUUUAAUUUAACUUAACAUAAGGAAACUUACUAGAUUCAGACAUAAUAAGGAUUAAUAGAUUGAAAGCUCUUUCUUGAUUUUAUGGAUAGUGGUGUAUAGUUAUUUUUAGUUAGUAGAGUAAUUUGUCUGCUUAAUUAUAAUAAUGAACGAAACCUUAACUUACUAAAUAGUUUAUAUUACUUUAGUAGUAUACUGGCUUCUUAGAGGGACUAUUAGCUUAAGCUGAUAGAAGUUUAAGGUAAUAAUAGGUUAAUUUUCACAGGUUUAUAAUAGUAAG
rnacentral:rRNA from 1 species